CGAGGCCGCUCCCUCGCCGCCGCCUUCUGCUCGCAUGGCUCCGCUCCGCUUUUCGGCCAACGUCUCCUGGCUGUUUCCAGAGCUCCCCGGGCUCCCCGAGCGGCUGCACGCCGCGGGCCGUGCGGGCUUCGAAGCGGCCGAGGUGGCCUGGCCGUACACCGAGUCCCCCCAGGCGCUGGCGAGCGCGGCGCAGACUGCGGGACUGCGGCUGGUGCUCAUCAACACGCCGCGGGGUGUGCGCUCCGGGCGGGGGAGCCCCAAGGGCUUCGGGGAGCCAGGCCCACGCUGACGCUGGUUCUCUCCACAGGAGACCAUGAGAAGGGGGAGAUGGGGCUGGGGGAGAGGGGCUGGAGCAGGCUGUGCUGUAUGCCAAGGCUCUGGGCUGCCCCAGGUACCCCGCCCUGCUCACCCUUGACCAUAGGUCCAGAUCGGGAGAAAGCUGUGAGCAGAGACACCACUUGUGGGCCAGGGCCUUUACAGACUGCUUUUUGUAUUUCAUCUGUUAGUGUCAUACGGAAGUAUGCCACGCUGAUGUCAUGCCCUUCUCAUACAGGGAACCCGUGCUGAGAGCGGGGGUGGGGGGUGGUCUGGUGAGGGAGCUAAUAAGGUCGAGAAAGCAGGGGCAGGGGUGGAGGCGUGGUAGGGCGGGCACCUAACCCCUACUAGGCGAAUGCUGUUUGCAGAUAGUGAUGCAGGAAUCUGGCAGGCCCACACAUCCACUUUAUAGGGAGAGGUACGCUAUUCAAGCAAGGAGGCUGUGGCCCUGGCAAGAGGAGGGUUGUUGUUUGUGUCCAGCUGAGUUAAUGAGGCUGGAGGUGGUAAAUACUGAGUUCCAAGGGCUUGAAUACCUGCUGGCGGUUAGGAACAGAGACAAAAAGUGGACAGAUGUGGGGAAGGAGGAGCCCUUGGGAACCUCCAGCAUGGUUCCAGGAGAACCUCAGGGAACUUCUGGAGCCCAUUAACACCAGGAAGCAACCGUGGCAAGAGGCAGGCUCAUUGCUGGUCAGUGUAGGGAGAGGAAGUAGGGUUAAGCUUUCUGUAAGGGCAAGGAUCAAAAUCAUUUAAAAAGGUGAGCCUCGGGGCUGGGAGGCUAGAGAGAUGGCUCAGCAGUUAAGAGCAUUUAUAGCUCUUGAGGAAGACCUGGAUUGGGUUGCCAGUACCCUCAUGGCAACACAACCAUCUAUACAUUCAGUAACAGGACAUCCAAUGCCUUCUGACCCCAAGGGCACCUGGCACACACGGUACACAUACAGACAUGCAGGUAAAACACUCAUACACAAAUACAUUUUAAAAAUC
rnacentral:lncRNA from 1 species